rnacentral:lncRNA from 1 species
CUCUGGCUCUCCUACUGAGAACAGCACAUAAUAUAUAAUUAUCAGAUAAAAGUUAUAGAUAGUUGAAUGGAGGUGGAGAUGGUAGUGAUAUUAAUAAUAAUAAUAAAUUAGCAUUCAAAUAGCAUCCACUCUGUGGCAGGCACUUAACAAAUGAGAUCUCAUUUGAUCCCCCUACAACCCUGGGAAGAAUAUGUGGUAAUUAUCCCCAUUUUGAAGUUGAGGAAACUGAGGCAAACAGAGGUUACAUAACUUGCCCAGGGUCACAUAGCUGGCAAGUGUUGGAGGCCAGUUAUGAAUUCAGGUCUUCCUGACUCCAUGCCAGUAUUCUAUUCAAUAUGUCACUUAGCUGCCCUGAGACCAGCAAACAAUUGAAAGCUCCACCCACUUCCCCCUCUCCCUUUCCUAUUUUAUACUCAAGAGGCUUUCCUCCCCACAUACUCUUCUCUCAGAGGGACCCAUGAGCCAGCCCGCUGCUGCAAGAGACCCUGCUUCUUCCUCAUACAUCUCAGUACCUUACUCUCAGGCCCACCAUGGGUUUUUCAAAGGUGAUGUCCUCAGAACUUCAAGAUUUCAGGCGAUUUGCACACCAGAAAACAGACCAGUUCGUAGACAGCUUCGAAUCGAGAGUAAAUAAGGAUGAUGAUUCAACAGUCUUGGAAAAUGCUAAAGAUUUAACUUCUCAGUACAAGGAGGACUUCAAUAACCGUUUGAUGGAUGUUGUUGACGCUGCAUAUCAGAAACAAAUUCGGGACCAUACUGGGAAUCCCAUCUCUAAGCAGCUGAUGUUGAGGGAGAAAAUGAAGGAUGAUGAUGUCCCUAAUAAUGAGCUAAUAACUGGAGACACAAUACUGGAAAAGGCCCUAUCUAUCUGGAGUUGCAUGCUGAAAGAGAUUAAGGAUUGGUGGAACAAAUUGCUUGAGUUUGUGAGGAAGACAGUUGCUUUUGUGAAGAAGAUUAAAGAUGCUAUAGUAGAGGCAGUGCAAACUGCAUGGAGAAUCUUGAUGAGCUUGUUUUAAUUCCCUCCAUGGUAGAAAGAGCUGCAUGUCAUGGGCAUCUCAUAAGGCUUCCAGAUUUAGGGUAAUUUUAAUUUUUUUCAAAUUAUGAACUUCACCAAAAAAAGAAGGUGAGGGAGAAUUUCCAUGCACACAGCAGAAUAUCAAAAGAAAAUUCUACAUGUAAACCUAAAUUUCUAUUUCAUAUCAUUUGCUUUAAAAUAAAAUAAUAAAGUCUAUAUAUUACA